UUAGUGUAUUCCCNVGUUUUGCGGACCAGCAUCAGUUCUUUCGCAGUAUAAGGGUGAUUGGAACGUGGCUUCUCCGGAAGUGUUAUAGCCUUUCACUGGAUGCUGUGUCGCAGACUVAGGACUGCAGUGCCCGUAAGGCABUUCGGGCCNCGAGCACUUAGGAUGCUGGGCGAAUGGGUU
rnacentral:rRNA from 1 species